UCACUCCAAAACCUAACUAAAACCCAACUAUAAGACAGCAGUUGAAGCAGUUAGUGGUCAAUAGAGAACAUGAAAUUUAAACAUUGGGAUGGUAAAAAUGGAGCAGCAUACAUAAAUAGAUACUUUCAAAGACUGAGAAGAAGCAUGCGAUGAAAACCAAAUGUCUAAAGCUGUUACUAAUAGAAUUUUCAGGGCAGCAGUGUUACAAGGAGCUCCUGCUGGUGUGACCCAGGCCAUGGAACAGUCUCCUGAGGUACCAGGCAGUGAUGAUACUAAAUGCAAAGGGGACACGAAUAUCCAGCACCCCUACCUGACCAAACUUGGGACUGAGUGAUAUUGAGAAUCUACAGGCGUAAAUGGAAAGAGCCUCGCUGGUGUGCUCAAAUUAAGUAAUGUCCAGCGGACCCACAGUCCAGAUAAUUAGACGACACCAGAGUGGACCUUGCUUCGCAGGUCCAAGAGAGGGAGGAUACCACAGGAGAUGCAGGAGGGAGUGAGGGUACCACAAAAGGAGGUGACACACAAACACGUACACACGAUAACAAUUUUCAUCCAUCACAAAGUAACCUACAAACUUUGCAGGUGGUCCACAAAACUGGGGAUUUAUUCACAGCCCUAAAGGAGAAGCUGUAGCCCAUUGUGUCAGUGCAGACUGUGUAUUUGGAGCUGGCAUAGCGAAAAAUUCAGAGAAAGAUAUGGGGUUGACAAGGUAAAGGCCCAGAGAAAAACGAAAGGUGACUGUACUAUAACUCACGAGGCAGACAUAAUAGUUUGCCACCUGAUCACAAAAACACAUGCUAGAGACCUAACCACAUAUGAGGACUUUGAGAGCAGUCUAAUCUGCAUAAGAACGUGGUGUGACAAAUUACACAUCACCACAUUAUCCAUAGGGGUGUGGUUUGGACAAGUUGGAAUUCUAUAGAGUUCUCCACAUUAUUGAAAAGACGUUUAAAGGCCAGAAUAUAACCAUUUCAGUUUAUACGUUAGAAUAAGUUUACUGUGCUUGCUAUUUUUUCAUUAUAGUUUUGAUAUUGAUUAUAUAUUACUUGCUGUGAACACAAUAAUGCUGUGAAAAAUAAGAUAAAGGGAGGAUCAGAAUUGAAUAAUAAGGAAAACCAGCAUCAAUAAAACAUGAGGGUCAAGCUGUGGGAAAACUGGAAACUACUGGGGAUAGUGGGGAUAUUAACAAUGAUAAUAGUGGGGACAAUUCUAGGAGUAGGAAAAAGUCAGAACAGGAAUGAAACCUCAACUGUAAAACCAACCAGAGUAAAAAGAUCCCUAGGGGAAGAAAACAGGUGUUCCAAGUAUUAUGGAGGGCUGUCCAUUGAAUAUGUAAAGGGAGAGACAACAUCUUACACAUUUGAUCUAUGUCAGGUAAUUGACUGUGGGGGACACAAUAGUUCGUGGCGAGGAUAUGACAUAUAUGUUUGUUUUGAUCAGACUAUGAAUGCAUGGUGUAACACGAUGGGUAAGGCAGAUCAUAAGUGGUGUAGAGGGUGGGAUCAAGUAGUGGGGUACACAGGGAAAUGGACGCCAAACCCAACAUGGUUAGGGAAUUUUAAAAACGAGUGGAGAAAACUGAAAAUACAAAGGGAUUAUAGUCCUACCCAGAACCCUAUAACUAUGUCCAUAAGGGAGUGGACAGGAUACCCCCUAGAUGAGACCCAUUAUUCUGGGAAAAACAAUCCGCCUAAGUUUCUCCAUAUACUAUUAGGAGUUGAGAUAUCAGGAACUGACCCCCUGGGAAUCAUAGAAGUUGAGUUUUUAGACAGGGUCAAUGUAAUAGAUAGAAACAAGACAACGACUAUAGGACCCCAAUCAGAGAUCAUAGUAGAGAAAUUAGAGGUCGAAGGGUUGUCAUAGAAAUGGAUUAUACCAAAUUAACCCCAGAAGAUAUACUAGAGAAAGCAUAUUAACCCUUUGUGGUGCAAACAGAUUAUCAACAAUGCAGGGGAUAUAAUAGGAUCCUGGGCGCGGGGAGGACUAUAUUAUUACUGUGGGGGGAAAAGAUAGUUUGUAAGAAUAAAAGGGAAAACUACGGAAGGUAUAUGUGCAAUGGUUAGGUUGGCAGCACCAGUAACACUGAUUGGCAAGAGACAAGAGGGAAGGGGUGAAAGUAUAGCUGGGAGAAGAAAAAGGGACGCAACGUUUGACUUAACCACAAAUUCCCCAACCUAUAUAGAUUCAAUAGGAGUCCGAAGAGGAGUCCCUGAUGAAUACAAAACUAGUAGACCAAAUUGCUGCCGGGUUCGAGAAUAUCCCAAUAAUUUCAGCCCUAUUCCCGGUCACCCCAAGUAAAAAUGUGGAUAGAAUAAAUUAUGUGCACUAUAAUGUGAUGAGAUUGGCAAAUUUAACAAGAGACGCCGUAGAAGGAUUAUCAGAACAAUUGGCUCCAACCUCAUUAAUGGCAAUACAAAAUAGAAUAGCACUAGACAUGCUAUUGGCGGAAAAGGGGUGCCAUGUUCCAAUCUUUUUUGCUGCACUUUUAUUACAAAUAAUACUGCCCAGACGGAUCAGUAAUGAGGGCUUUAGAAGGGUUAAAAACCCUUUCCAAAACAAUGGCAGAACACUCUGGUGUAAAUAACCCAUUUGAUGAUUGGCUGACCGGUGUGUUUGGAAAAUAUAAAACCAUGUUUACAUCAAUUUUGAUCUCUAUAGCUACAUUUGUGGCCAUAAUAGUGACCUGUGGAUGCUGUAGCAUGCCGUGUAUCAGAACAUUGUGUAACAGGGUGAUAAUAGCAGCAAUUGAAAAGAAAGAUGGAGCUCCACCCCCUUACACAAUGCCUCUGCUGAUAUCUCCAGGAAAUAAUGAUGAGGAGGAAGAGGAAUAUGACUUAUAAAUAUUGUUUUUUCCCAAUAACUGUGCUUCUUUGCAGAUGCUGAUACAUCACAAGCUAUGUGUUUUUUAGAUAUUGAUGUUUGAGAAAUUUGCUGUUUGAAAAUGUGUUAAGAUUUAAAUUUUGAUAACUGAAAUGUUUGUAGUUUAGAUAAUUUCAGUGUGAUUGACUCAGCUGACAUGUUGUGGUUGCCCAAACGUCAAUUAGGGGAUCGACUGGGUGCCUUUCCCCACAGGGGUUUUCGGCCCAGUCCAGCCUGAGCACACUUUGUAGGGAAUGUUAUUUUUUUAUUAUUAUUACAUUUUAAGUACUUUUCUUUCUAGUAGUCUGAUAUGAUGUGUCAGGUGAACAUGUGGUGGCUGCCCACAAGCCAACUAGGGGGCCGCUUGGGUGUCUUUCCUCACAGAGGUUUUCGACCCAAGCUCAUCUGGACAUAUUGGACCAAGACUUCUGAGAUUUUUUAAGUGUUAUUAAAGUGGUGUGGCCUCUUUUCAGAGGCCAAGAGAGGGAUUGAAGGAUAGCAUUUUUUUUUUAUUGUUAGAUUUUGCUAAACAUUUACUAAUAAAUGCAGACAUAAAGGGUUUCUUCUUUUAAAGGGUUAGCUGCUUUAUUAGGUGCACAAAGUAUAGAGAAAUGUUACAGGAUGCUAGCACAUCCUGUUGUUGGGUGGGGGUGAAUGACAAGAUGUAUAAGCUGUGUGUACGUGCUCUGAAACAUCUGCCUUAAAAGGUGAACUGUUAAGAGAAGAUACACAGAUACUAGGAAGAAGAAUAUCUGGUUUCUGAAUGGUUAACCUGUUAAGACAAUUCCAUAUAAGUCUAUAGUAGUUAGGGUUAGGGAGUGUGUGAGAGACAGUAUAAAAGCCUGAAUACAGGAAGCUCAUUUGCCAUUAUAUCCCUUCUGCGCAGAACAUGUAUUCUCUAACUUCUUGCAUUCAAAAUAAAACUUCUUAAUUUUCAA